UUGUUCGUGUGCCCACUCUUGAACCCAAAUACAAGAUUGCAGUUCUUGCUUCGAAGCAGGAUCAUUGUCUGGCCGAUUUGUUGCAUGGAUGGCAGGAUGGAAGACUUCCGGUGGAUAUAACUUGCAUAAUAAGCAAUCAUGAUAGAGGACCAAACACCCAUGUGAUUCGAUUUCUUGAAAGGCAUGGGAUCCCCUAUCAUUAUUUGCACACAACUAAAGGGAA